rnacentral:rRNA from 1 species
UACAGAGGUCCCAAGCGUUGUUCGGAUUUACUGGGCGUAAAGGGUGCGUAGGCGGUCGGGUAAGUCUGACGUGAAAUCUUCAAGCUUAACUUGGAAACUGCGUCGGAUACUAUUCGGCUUGAGGAAUGGAGGGGAGACUGGAAUACUUGGUGUAGCAGUGAAAUGCGUAGAUAUCAAGUGGAACACCAGUGGCGAAGGCGAGUCUCUGGACAAUUCCUGACACUGAGGCACGAAAGCUAGGGGAGCAAACAGG